AUUGAACGCUGGCGGCAUGCCUUACACAUGCAAGUCGAACGGCAGCAUGAUCUAGCUUGCUAGAUUGAUGGCGAGUGGCGAACGGGUGAGUAAUACAUCGGAACGUGCCCUGUAGUGGGGGAUAACUAGUCGAAAGAUUAGCUAAUACCGCAUACGACCUGAGGGUGAAAGUGGGGGACCGCAAGGCCUCAUGCUAUAGGAGCGGCCGAUGUCUGAUUAGCUAGUUGGUGGGGUAAAGGCCCACCAAGGCGACGAUCAGUAGCUGGUCUGGGAGGACGAUCAGCCACACUGGGACUGGGACACGGCCCAGACUCCUACGGGAGGCAGCAGUGGGGAAUUUUGGACAAUGGGGGCAACCCUGAUCCAGCAAUGCCGCGUGUGUGAAGAAGGCCUUCGGGUUGUAAAGCACUUUUGUCCGGAAAGAAAUCGCACUUACUAAUAUUAGGUGUGGAUGACGGUACCGGAAGAAUAAGGACCGGCUAACUACGUGCCAGCCGCCGCGGUAA
rnacentral:rRNA from 1 species